CAGGGAUUGAACUCGGAACCUUGUGCUUGCGAGGCAGGCGGUGGAACCACUGAGCUAAAUCCCUGGCCCCACAAUUCUAUUCUUGAAGAACAGCAGUGUAACAUCAAAGCGUACUUAAAAGGACAAGAAAAAAAUCGGUUGGCUGGCCUGAACCCAGCAAGUGGUGCUGGAACAGGGACCUGAAGCUGGUGUGAGGUUGAGUGAGGAAGCCAAAGGAAAGUGAAACUGGAAGAGGAACUUGAAGCUUUAAGGCCAUCAGCUCAGGCAGCCCAGGAUGAGACUGCCCACAUCCUCACUGUGCUCGUAGACAGCAGGAGAGACGGAGGCAUGUUUGCGGGUAGCACUAGAUACAGCAGCAGGGGCGGAGUCUGACCACAGACUGCUCAAAAGACGGACUCUGGCCUGGAAAGAACAAUCAGAGGCCUCCUGUCUGUGCUGCACAGGGAACCCAGGCCCUCCAGGCACCCAAGCUCAGAGUAUGAUUUCAAGAGUCCCAGAACUUCAAACAGCUGAGCCCAGAGAGACACCCAGGAGGCACCCAUGGGUCACGCAGGGAGCCAGCCUCACCCACAGA